GAUGAAGAACGUAGCGAAAUGCGAUAAGUAAUGUGAAUUGCAGAACUCAGUGAAUCAUCGAGUCUUUGAACGCACAUUGCGCCCCCUGGUAUUCCGGGGGGCAUGCCUGUCCGAGCGUCAUUGCCGCCCUCAAGCACGGCUUGUGUGUUGGGCCCCCGCCCCCCGGCUUCGGGGGGCGGGCCCGAAAGGCAGCGGCGGCACCGCGUCCGGUCCUCGAGCGUAUGGGGCUUCGUCACCCGCUCUGUAGGCCCGGCCGGCGCCCGCCGGCGACCCCAAACAAUCUUUCCAGGUUGACCUCGGAUCAGGUAGGGAUACCCGCUGAACUUAAGCAUAUCAAUAAGCGGAGGA
rnacentral:misc_RNA from 1 species